AAAACGACUCUCGGCAACGGAUAUCUCGNNNNNNGCAUCGAUGAAGAACGUAGCGAAAUGCGAUACUUGGUGUGAAUUGCAGAAUCCCGUGAACCAUCGAGUCUUUGAACGCAAGUUGCGCCCUAAGCCAUUUGGCCGAGGGCACGUCUGCCUGGGCGUCAAUC
rnacentral:rRNA from 1 species